rnacentral:rRNA from 1 species
UACGGGGGGGGCAAGCGUUGUUCGGAAUUACUGGGCGUAAAGGGCUCGUAGGUGGCCAACUAAGUCGGACGUGAAAUCCCUCAGCUUAACUGGGGAACUGCGUCCGAUACUGGAUGGCUUGAGUUUGGGAGAGGGAUGCGGAAUUCCAGGUGUAGCGGUGAAAUGCGUAGAUAUCUGGAGGAAUACCGGUGGCGAAGGCGGCAUCCUGGACCGACAUUGACGCUGAGGAGCGAAAGCUAGGGGAGCAAACGGG